UCGAGCGGGACAUGUGAAGUAGCAAUAUUUUGCAUGUUCAGCGGCGCAAGGGUGCGUAACACGUGGGCAAUUUGCCAUGAAGUUCGGAAUAAUCCCGCGAAAGCGGGACUAAUACCGGAUGUGGAAGAUGGGAGGCAUCUCCUGAAUUCUAAAGUUGGGGACCGUAAGGCCUGACGCUUCAUGAUAAGCCCGCGGCCUAUCAGCUAGUUGGUGAGGUAACGGCUCACCAAGGCUAAGACGGGUAGCUGGUCUGAGAGGACGACCAGCCACACUGGAACUGAGACACGGUCCAGACACCUACGGGUGGCAGCAGUCGAGAAUUUUUCACAAUGGGCGAAAGCCUGAUGGAGCGACGCCGCGUGGGGGAUGAAUGGCUUCGGCCCGUAAACCCCUGUCAUUUGCGAACAAACCUUACCUAUGAAUAGUGGGUGAGCUGAUUGUAGCGGAAGAGGAAGGGACGGCUAACUCUGUGCCAGCAGCCGCGGUAAUACAGAGGUCCCGAGCGUUG
rnacentral:rRNA from 1 species